rnacentral:rRNA from 1 species
AUUGAACGCUAGCGGGAGGCUUAACACAUGCAAGUCGAACGAGUGGCGGACGGGUGGGUAAUAUAUCGGAACGGGCCCAGUGGAUGGGGAUAACUAAUGGAAAGAGUUACUGAUAACGCAUACUUGUGGAGAGGCCGAUAUCGGAUUAUCUAGUUGGUGGGGUAAAGGCAUACAAAGACAACGAUCCGUAGCUGGUGUGAGAGGAUGAACAGCCACACUGGAACUGAGACACGGCCCAGACUCCUACGGGAGGCAGCAGUGGGGAAUUUUGGACAAUGGGGGAAACCCUGAUCCAGCCAUCCCGCGUGUAUGAGAAGGCCUUCGGGUUGUAAAGUACUUUUGGCAGAGAAGCGGUACCUGCAGAAUAAGCACCGGCUAACUACGUGCCAGCAGCCGCGGUAAUUC